ensembl:lncRNA
AUGGACAGCUGGGCAUCCUCUGCAAAGUCAUACAGAAACGGUGCCAGGGCUAUAAAUUCGGCCCAGCUAUCUGUCUCAAAACUAAAUGCCCUUGGUCGGAAACCCCUACUAUUUCUUGGAAAUCCUGGCCGCAAAGGAAAAUCUGUGGGGGACUUGAUUCACUUUAUCCCCACAGAUAACGUCUUGGUGAAGGAUAUCAUUUCCAAAAUGAGCAAAUGCUAUGAGCUCCUCCUGACAAUGUUGCAGGGCUGUGCUCCACAAGCAGCUGUGCCCCCCCUGGAAAACAGCGGUCCACCAGCCCCUCCUGUGUGCUCUCAGCCUCCUCCAGAACCCUUCUCAUCCCCUCAAACUCCUCCAUCCUUCUCCAACUCCCAACCUCCUUCCUUCUCAUCCCCUCAAACUCCUCCAUCCUUCUCCAACUCCCAACCUCCUCCAUCUUUCCACAACUUAGAACCUCCUCCAUCCUUCUCCAACUCCCAACCUCCUUCCUUCUCAUCCCCUCAAACUCCUCCAUCCUUCUCUAACUCUGAACCUCCUCCAUCUUUCCACAACUUAGAAACUCCUCCAUCCUUCUCCAACUCCCAACCUCCUUCCUUCUCAUCCCCUCAAACUCCUCCAUCCUUCUCCAACUCCCAAGCUCCUUUCCUUCUCCAACUCCCAACCUCCUCCAUCCUUCUCAGACCCUCAAAUUCCUCCAUCCUUCUCUAACUCUGAACCUCCUCCAUCUUUCCACAACUUAGAACCUCCUCCAUCCUUCUCCAACUCCCAACCUCCUUCCUUCUCUAACUCUCAACCUUCUCCAUCCUUCUCCCCUCAACCUCAUCCAUCCCUCUCCAACUUUGAACCUCCUUGAUCUCCAGCCUCCUCUUCCAAGAAGAGACCCAAAAUAAAAGGUUUGAUUUACUCUGCAUGCUACAUAAAUGUAUUACAUUGUUAGGGUUUUCUAAUUAACACAAUAUACUUCAUGUGAUUUGUAUUAAGCUUUUCUACUUUAUCUUUUUUGAAUGCAGAAAACACAAAAAUCAAACCAAGCCAAGCCGUUCAGAUUUUGUUGCCCACGAGAGUCAGAUCCAGGAUGGACCUUAUCUGGAGUGGGGCCAAAAGCGCCCUGGCCCUCCCUCUAAAAAUAAGCGAGCUGAGCUGCUCCUAUUUUCGGUACUCAUCGCAUGGGGUACCAAGCUGUCUGAAAGGGUGCCGAAAAUAUGAAGCUAUACACUGCCGUCAGUUGAUUGGUCGAAAGAAUAACUUUGGCCUUAAAAGAGGCCUAUGUGUAGUCACCUUUGCAGGAGUGAAGAGAGUAUUGUGUUUAGAGAAAAGGAUUACAUGAACGUUAUGGCAUAUUUGGCUAUAACAUGUAAAAUUGUUAGGUUAGGUUACCAAUUUCUACAGGAUUUUGUGUUGGACCAUUUAAAAACAAAUUCAACUCAUACUGUUGGACCCAGAUAGACAGUGUUUAAAAUUUGAUGCUUAAUCCUUGUAUUAAAUAAUAAAUUCUAAGUUGUGUGGUGAUAGUAUCUGUCUCUACAGGAAAUGCCUUUCUCUCACAACUACUUCUGUCAUAUUUUCUGAUGUCAUGCCUUUCAGGGAAAAGAAGAGGUGAAAGUCUCUUGGACACCAUGCCCCAAGUGGUAAGUUUGACUGGAAACAAAGGAUUUAUAAAACAUUUUUAAAGCUAUAGUGUGUAACUUCUGCCGGGGCCCAAGAGGAAUUCUGAGUAAUUACAACAACACUGUCGGUGCAUCUACAUGAGGUACACUUUUGCUGAUCGCACAUCAAUU